CAGGGCUUUAUUCAUCCAAGAAUGAUACAAUGUUGGUAUGUGGUAUAUACUCACAAUUUUGAAGGGUUUACAAAUCACAAGCUGCGAAAAUAAGUUCAGACAUUCGCCAUUGAAGCAUUCGCAGUUGACAAGCUGAGAUUAUAAGGGGUCUCUAAGUAGCAAGGGAGCCUACAAUCAUUAAUUUGAUUGUUAGAGAGUUAAAGCCAUAUUUUCAUAUGUUGGUGCAAUCCUUUUGAAAUAUCGGUGCAAAAAUGUUAUCUUUACAUUUGUAAGGUAACACUUCUAAGGCUUCAUGUUUUAUCCUGGUGAAAAAAUAGUCGUGGGGUAUACCUUAAUGUAUAUGAUUGUGACUUUUGAAUUGUAUUACUUACCUAUUAAAGUAUUUGUUGGAUAUGUUGUUGUAGAUCCAACCAUUACAUCUCAAUUCUUUUGCUAUUAAUAGUAGAUUUAUCGUGUGUGUUUGUAUUAUUUACAAUUUUCUUUCAAAUCAUACAUACAAUGACAGUGUAGACCCCUCAUCAUGUGAAAUUCAUGACUGAUUAGUGAGGAUGUUGGAGUUGGAUUUAAUGUCUAAAAAUUAAGGCUCUUCUU